GUUGAACGCUGGCGGCGUGCCUAAUACAUGCAAGUCGAGCGGACGGACGAGAAGCUUGCUUCUCUGAUGUUAGCGGCGGACGGGUGAGUAACACGUGGAUAACCUACCUAUAAGACUGGGAUAACUUCGGGAAACCGGAGCUAAUACCGGAUAAUAUUUUGAACCGCAUGGUUCAAAAGUGAGAGACGGUCUUGCUGUCACUUAUAGAUGGAUCCGCGCUGCAUUAGCUAGUUGGUAAGGUAACGGCUUACCAAGGCAACGAUGCAUAGCAGACCUGAGAGGAUGAUCGGCCACACUGGAACUGAGACACGGUCCAGACUCCUACGGGAGGCAGCAGUAGGGAAUCUUCCGCAAUGGGCGAAAGCCUGACGGAGCAAUGCCGCGUGAGUGAUGAAGGUCUUCGGAUCGUAAAACUCUGUUAUUAGGGAAGAACAUAUGUGUAAGUAACUGUGCACAUCUUGACGGUACCUAAUCAGAAAGCCACGGCUAACUACGUG
rnacentral:rRNA from 1 species